GUAGUCCAGAUGGUGGUGUGCUGAGGCAGCGCGGACCUGGUGCUGGCUCUGUCUUUGGACUGGGCUCUGUGGCUGACCUUGGGCAUCGGCCACGAGGGUUUUACUGCGCAAGAGAGGCGACGUGUUCUGUGUUGUUUCCCGCAGGCCAACCUUGAUGUUCUCAUCAGCCGGGGAGAGCAGGGCACACAGGAUCUGUAAAGAACACUCAGUUUGUCAUCAAAUGUCACCAAAGACAUUAACACGAUUAUGACUAAGAACCCCAAUCUGUGCAGGAGUAAGAAGAAUAUGAAGGUAGUCAAUUGAUGCAAACGUGGAUGCUGGAGUCAUAUUUUACUUAAAUAAUCACGAAGAGUCUUGUCUUGUUGAUGGUGUCCCAUAAAAUUCAAUCUAACCACCAUAUGUUGGCAUCACUCCAAGUAUUGCUCUCGCUGAUUUAUGCAGAUGAGCUGUUUUGUCACUUUUUCCUCUGAAAGCACAUCUUGUAGGAUUUGCCAGCCAAGGCUACUGUUUUUAGCAAGUGAUAUCUGUACAUAGAGUUUUAAGUAUUCACAAAAAGUCUGAAAGUUGUUGUUUGAAAGUGUUUGGGGUGCAUAAAAUCUAAAAUUGCAUUCUUUUGAAUUUGCCAGGUUUUGUCAACAAAAAGAACUGUUGUGGUGGCAGCCCGGCUGACUGUGAGUAUCCUGGUUAUUUCUCCUUUUUUUUGUCUGUGAUUCUGUUUUCCCUGGUUUCUUCCCUGUACUCUGCCUAUCUCCCUGUGCCUCCUCCUUCCUGAGCCCAGCCAACGACCCGCACCUGCACCUCGUCAGCCACCUCCUCUGCCUGCCACACCUGCCAGCAAUCAGCCUCAUCUCCCACAGUACUUCUACCCCGGUUCUCCACUCCAUUGCUGCUUCAUCGUCGUUGCUCCUACCCUGGUUCACUCACCCUCGUCCUCUGUCAAGUCGGCUGGGCUCGCUCACCUGCCCUCUCCCCUCGGACUUCCCCCACAGCGUCCUCCCGGUUCUCCCUUGUGCCUCCCUAGUCAGCCUGCCACCACACUCCUCCACCAACCCCCUGACCAGUUCUCCUGUGCCUCCUCUCUUCCUCGGCCCCCAGUGUCUCUCGGCUCACUGGUCUCAGUCUCCUCGGUUCCCCGUACCUGCGUUUCCCCGGUGUCCACCUCUCCCUCAACUCCAGUCCCUCAACCCCUUCUUUCCCCAAAUAAAACCUGUUAACCUUGA